AAGCCCUUUCUAGGUCUCCUCCAGACAUAUCCACUGCAAAUAAUGUGGGGACCCCCAAAGAAGAAGUUCCAGCCAAGAGCUCUCCGCUGCAAAACAACUGUGAUCACAUUGAUGUAAGUGAUGAUGACGAUGAACCUAUUCAAGUCAGACCUAGGAGACGUGUUCCCUCGGCUGUCUCUUCUGCCCAGAUUGAUCAAGACCUUGUUGUAAAAGGACCACUGAGGAGAAGAGGAGCACCUCCGAUGACAG